CCUACGGGAGGCAGCAGUGAGGAAUAUUGGUCAAUGGGCGAGAGCCUGAACCAGCCAAGUCGCGUGAGGGAGUACUGCCCUAUGGGUUGUAAACCUCUUUUGUCUGGGAGCAAAAGCCGGACGUGUCCGGCUGUGAGAGUACCCGAAGAAAAAGCAUCGGUUAACUCCGUGCCAGCAGCCGCGGUAAUACGGAGGAUUCGAGCGUUAUCCGGAUUUAUUGGGUUUAAAGGGUGCGCAGGCGGAUUUUUAAGUCAGCGGUAAAAUCGUGGGGCUCAACCCCAUCCAGCCGUUGAAACUGGGGAUCUAGAGUGUGGGAGAGGUAUGCGGAAUGCGUGGUGUAGCGGUGAAAUGCAUAGAUAUCACGCAGAACCCCGAUUGCGAAGGCAGCAUACCGGUGCACAACUGACGCUCAGGCACGAAAGCGUGGGUAUCGAACAGGAUUAGAUACCCCGGUAGUC
rnacentral:rRNA from 1 species